rnacentral:rRNA from 1 species
UACGGAGGGGGCUAGCGUUGUUCGGAAUUACUGGGCGUAAAGCGUACGUAGGCGGCUUUGUAAGUUAGAGGUGAAAGCCCGGGGCUCAACUCCGGAAUUGCCUUUAAGACUGCAUCGCUUGAAUCAUGGAGAGGUGAGUGGAACUGCGAGUGUAGAGGUGAAAUUCGUAGAUAUUCGCAAGAACACCAGUGGCGAAGGCGGCUCACUGGCCCGAUACUGACGCUGAGGUGCGAAAGCGUGGGGAGCAAACAGG